rnacentral:rRNA from 1 species
UCCGUAGGUGAACCUGCGGAAGGAUCAUUACCACACCUAAAAAACUUUCCACGUGAACCGUUUCAACCCAAUAGUUGGGGGUCUUAUUUGGCGGCGGCUGCUGGCUUAAUUGUUGGCGGCUGCUGCUGAGUGAGCCCUAUCAAAAAAAAAAGGCGAACGUUUGGGCUUCGGCCUGAUUUAGUAGUCUUUUUUUUCUUUUAAACCCAUUCCUUAAUACUGAAUAUACUGUGGGGACGAAAGUCUCUGCUUUUAACUAGAUAGCAACUUUCAGCAGUGGAUGUCUAGGCUCGCACAUCGAUGAAGAACGCUGCGAACUGCGAUACGUAAUGCGAAUUGCAGGAUUCAGUGAGUCAUCGAAAUUUUGAACGCAUAUUGCACUUCCGGGUUAGUCCUGGAAGUAUGCCUGUAUCAGUGUCCGUACAUUAAACUUGACUUUCUUCCUUCCGUGUAGUCGGUGGAGGAGAUGUCAGAUGUGAAGUGUCUUGCGAUUGGUCUUCGGACCGGCUGCGAGUCCUUUUAAAUGUACUAAACUGAACUUCUCUUUGCUCGAAAAGUGGUGGCGUUGCUGGUUGUGAAGGCUGCUAUUGUGGCAAAUUGGCGACUGGUUUGUCUGCUGCGGCGUUAUGGAAGAGUGUUCGAUUCGUGGUAUGGUUGGCUUCGGCUGAACAAUGCACUUAUUGGACGUUUUUCCUGCUGUGGCGUGAUGGACUGGUGAACCAUAGCUCGGUGGCUUGGCUUUUGAAUUGGCUUUGCUGUUGCGAAGUAGGGUGGCAGCUUCGGUUGUCGAGGGUCGAUCCAUUUGGGAACUUAAUGUGUACUUCGGUAUGCAUCUCAAUUGGACCUGAUAUCAGGCAAGAUUACCCGCUGAACUUAAGCAUAUCAAUAAGCGGAGGA